rnacentral:lncRNA from 1 species
AGGGUUUUGGCCAAGCCUGAACAGGCUGACCUGACUCCCCCUCCCCACCUCCGAACAAGGGAAGGAAGGAGGCGACGGUCUGGGGUGGCAGGGCAGACUGGGGCAGGGGCGAGAAGGCCCUGUUGAGGGUAGAGGACUCCGGAGUCCUGGCCUGGAAACAGCAGGUAGGGGGGGCUGGGAACCACACACACACACACACACACACACACACACACACACACACACACACNNNNNNNNNNACACACACACACACACACACACACACACACACACACACACACACACAAUCCCCCAGUCCUGGGCGCAGAGAGCACUCACGGGGCCUCCCUCCCACAGGCUCCGGGGAGCCCUGGCGGUGGCUGCAUCUGGGGACCAAGGAGGAAGAGGAGGCACCAGCUAAUGCUGCCAGGAGAAGCAGGGGCCGAUGCUGCGCCUGGAGGAAGGGAGGUUGCGGAUGGACGAAUCCCCGGAACCGGAGAGGGAAGAGAGGCUGCUGACUCUGCUGGGCCUGGUAGGCACAGCACUCAACCUGCUGGUCCUCGUCUGUGUCUACGUCUACACCACCCUCUGAGCUGACGUCACCAACUUGGGGCGGGGCCCGGGAAAACCCUCUAAGGUUUUCCUUAGAGUCUAUGGAGCUGGAGGCGGGGCCGGGGAGCAGGGAUGGGGCUUGGAAACAC